AGCCUUCUGUAUCCGUGCUGAGAUUUCGUCACACACCAGGGCUGAUGAGACUCCCAAGAUAAGUGAAGUG
rfam:Schistosoma margrebowiei strain Zambia genome assembly, scaffold: SMRZ_contig0007550